GUGACAGUAUAAGCAGUGUUUAGGAGAUACGGUCACAGUGUAAGUAGUGUUUAGGCGGCACGGUCACAGUGUAAGCAGUGUAUAGGCGAUACGGUCACAGUAUAAGGCAAUGUUUAUGUGAUACGGUCACACUAUAUAAGGCAAUGUUUAUGUUAUACGGUCACAGUAUAAGCAGUGUUUAGGAGAUACGGUCACAGUAUAAGCAGUGUUUAGGAGAUACGGUCACAGUGUGAUCAGUGUUUAGGUGAUACG